GAACCGUCCGAACGUUAUUCGGAAUCACUGGGCUUAAAGGGUGCGUAGGCGGCGCGGAAAGUUGGGUGUGAAAUACCUCGGCUCAACCGAGGAACUGCGCCCAAAACUUCCGUGCUCGAGGGAGAUAGAGGUGAGCGGAACUUAGGGUGGAGCGGUGAAAUGCGUUGAUAUCCUAAGGAACACCGGUGGCGAAAGCGGCUCACUGGAUCUCUUCUGACGCUGAGGCACGAAAGCUAGGGUAGCGAACGGGAUCAGAUACCCCGGGUAGUCCUAGCCGUAAACGAUGAGCACUGGAUUGAAGGGUCCCUCCCAUAGCCUUUCAGUCGCAACGAAAGCGUUAAGUGCUCCGCCUGGGGGAGUAUGGUCGCAAGGCUG
rnacentral:rRNA from 1 species